UACGUAGGUGGCAAGCGUUAUCCGGAUUCAUUGGGCGUAAAGAGCGCGUAGGUGGUCCUUCAAGUCAGAUGUUAAAUCUCCCGGCUUAACUGGGAGUGGUCAUCUGAUACUGCUGGACUUGAGGAUGGUAGAGGGAGGUGGAAUUCCCGGUGUAGUGGUGAAAUGCGUAGAUAUCGGGAGGAACACCAGUGGCGAAAGCGGCCUCCUAGGCCAUUCCUGACACUGAGGCGCGAAAGCGUGGGGAGCGAACAGG
rnacentral:rRNA from 1 species